AUACGGGGGGUGCAAGCGUGAUUCGGAUUUAUUGGGCGUAAAGGGCGCGUAGGCGGCUUGGAAAGUCAGAUGUGAAAGCCCGGGGCUCAACCCCGGAAGUGCAUUUGAAACUAUCAGGCUUGAGUAUGGGAGAGGGAAGUGGAAUUCCUGGUGUAGAGGUGAAAUUCGUAGAUAUCUGGAGGAACACCGGUGGCGAAGGCGACUUCCUGGACCAAUACUGACGCUGAGGCGCGAAGGCUUGGGGAGCAAACAGGAUUAGAAACCCCUGUAGUCC
rnacentral:rRNA from 1 species